AUUUUGUUUAAUUUCAAAUGUACCUUUCGUAUAUUUCUCCGUUAUUUAAAAAUAAUCCUACCGUUAGUCCCUGCUAAUUAAGUUGUCCCUGCUAAGUCGUCUCGGGUUAAACCUGAAUUAAAUUUCUACUAAAAUUAAAUAAAAGUCAAAAUACUUUUUUUGCUCAUCACUUAAGAGCAAAUAAAAAAGGUUGGUAAUGAAAGAAGAAUAUAUAAGUCAAAAUACUUUUUUUAUCCCUUACUUAAGCACAAAUAAAAAAAAAUUGGUGAAGAUAGAAGAUUAUAUUUGAAAGAAUAAAAUAUUAAUUUUAUAGAAAUAACAGUUGUUUCUAAUCGUUUACUAACAAAAUCUAACUUUAGGAGUAUAUUUAAAACAACUUGCAA
rnacentral:lncRNA from 1 species